rnacentral:rRNA from 1 species
CUACGUGCCAGCAGCCGCGGUAAUACGUAGGGUGCGAGCGUUAAUCGGAAUUACUGGGCGUAAAGCGUGCGCAGGCGGUUUGAUAAGUCAGAUGUGAAAUCCCCGGGCUCAACCUGGGAAUGGCAUUUGAGACUGUCAAGCUGGAGUUUGGCAGAGGGGGGUGGAAUUCCACGUGUAGCAGUGAAAUGCGUAGAGAUGUGGAGGAACACCGAUGGCGAAGGCAGCCCCCUGGGCCAAUACUGACGCUCAUGCACGAAAGCGUGGGGAGCAAACAGGAUUAGAUACCCUGGUAGUCCACGCCCUAAACGAUGUCAACUAGGUGUUGGGAGGGUUAAACCUUUUAGUGCCGUAGCUAACGCGUGAAGUUGACCGCCUGGGGAGUACGGCCGCAAGGCUAAAACUCAAAGGAAUUGACGGG